AUUCGUUUUUACCCUUUUAUAGAAUUAUGGAAGAUGAUUUUCCUCACUCUUGCUCUUCCCCAAUUUCCAUUUUCUCAUUUUUCCAAUUUAUCCCUUUCCAUCUCAUAACGUUUUUUCUUCCUUUUGAUUUCACACAAAAAUACAGAAUCAAACCUUGAGUUUCAAUUUCAGUUCCGCAUAAGGCUCAUCCACACAAGAAACAAACUAGUUGGAAAAACUGGUGGUGCCAGGUGGAAAUCCAUGUCCGAUGCUGUGAGCAAAGCAAACAUGUUCUCUGAUUCUCUUUUAUUAUUCUUUUUUCUUCAAAUAACAAUUAUUUCUGCUUUUGUUGUUGUUUUACGAAGAACAUACUAGCAUAUGAGGAGAAUAUCAAAGCCUACAACAAAAGAUUCAUAAUUGCUUUAACUCAAUAUUUUCAUUCUCUCUUAUAUUGUGAUUUAUACAAAUCUUAUGAUUGAGCUCUUUUAAUGUUUAGAAUGAGGGUGGAGAUUCUAAUAAGUCAAAAUCUGUGGUGAAUGAUGAUUAUGAUGAUGAAGAGAGGAUGAGUGAAGUAGCUGCUGUGGUGAAGGAAAAGACCUUGGAGUGGGAAGAAAUAAUUUCAUUCAUUAUCAAUCUUCAUAUAGUUUUGAAAGUUGAUUAACAAUAUAGUUUGAUCAUCUUAAUUUUCCACUUACUUUUAUGUGUGAAGAUCAUGAGAUUUAAGGUUUAGUAGGUUGUGUAUGUUUGAUUCAUCGAAAGGAAUAUAUUUUAGAUGCCAUAAUAUAAUUUUCUUCUUCUUAUGUUUUUGGGCAAAAAACUAUAUUCAUUAUUUUUAUUUAUUUUUAGUUUAAGGGAGUACUUUACCUUUAUAGAUGUUAGAAAAUAAGUUUGUAAAACUCUAUAUUUAUUUAAGUUAGUUAUCAUUUUGUGUUUGAAAGUAUUAUGUUA